rnacentral:rRNA from 1 species
GGAGGAAAGCAGGGGAUCGUAAGACCUUGCGUUAAUGGAGCGGCCGAUAUCUGAUUAGCUAGUUGGUGGGGUAAAGGCCUACCAAGGCGACGAUCAGUAGUUGGUCUGAGAGGACGACCAGCCACACUGGGACUGAGACACGGCCCAGACUCCUACGGGAGGCAGCAGCGGGGAAUUUUGGACAAUGGGCGCAAGCCUGAUCCAGCAAUGCCGCGUGAGUGAAGAAGGCCUUCGGGUUGUAAAGCUCUUUCAGUCGAGAAGAAAAAGCUGUGGUGAAUAACUGCGGUUUAUGACGGUAUCGACAGAAGAAGCACCGGCUAACUACGUGCCAGCGGCCGCGGUAAUACGUAGGGUGCGAGCGUUAAUCGGAAUUACUGGGCGUAAAGGGUGCGCAGGCGGUUUUGUAAGUCAGAUGUGAAAUCCCCGGGCUUAACCUGGGAAUUGCGUUUGAAACUACAAAGCUAG